rnacentral:rRNA from 1 species
AGUGAACGCUGGCGGUAGGCCUAACACAUGCAAGUCGAACGGCAGCACAGUAAGAGCUUGCUCUUACGGGUGGCGAGUGGCGGACGGGUGAGGAAUACAUCGGAAUCUACUUUUUCGUGGGGGAUAACGUAGGGAAACUUACGCUAAUACCGCAUACGACCUACGGGUGAAAGCAGGGGAUCUUCGGACCUUGCGCGAUUGAAUGAGCCGAUGUCGGAUUAGCUAGUUGGCGGGGUAAAGGCCCACCAAGGCGGCGAUCCGUAGCUGGUCUGAGAGGAUGGUCGGCGGCACUGGAGGUUAGACAGGCACAAGAGUACUGAGGGACGGAGCAGUGGGCAAUAGGAGACAGUAGUGGGAAGCAUGGUACAGUGAGACGGAGUCGGUUAAGAAGGCGCCGGGGUUGUGAUGACCUUUUGUUGGGUAUAAACAGCAUCAGCUUGAGACGAAGCUGUUGUGACGGUACUCAAUGAAGAAGCACCGGCUAACUUCGUG